AAGGCUUUUUAAACAUAACCUUAAAUAUACAUACUAUGACUCGUUCCCUACCAGCCCCUUAAAAGUAGGUCACAACCACUGCUGAUCAAUAGUAGCGGCCAAGGAUGAAAAUCACCUCUUGCAGGCAGGUUUCUACUGCUGGACACUUACUGAGGUAUAGCCUACCAUUUCUGACUUACGCUAAGUGUUCUGACAACAAAAGGCAACCUUGAGAAAAACAGUAAUUUAUGGUUCUACGUGUCUACCACAACUGGAGCCAUCAGCCUCUCCGUAUAGAACAAAACCUGGUCAGUCAGGGAAUCUGCUUCCCAUUUGCAUUUAACCAACCCCAUAUUAAUGUCUUUUCAAAACCAAGUGUUAUGUGACCCCUAGAAGUUCAAAGAGUCAUCAAAGAAUAGUAAAAGCAAAAGUCAUAAUAAUAUUCAUCUCCAGGCAUUGCCUUGGUUAUGACUGCCUUCAAUGCUGUUUAGCAGUUUUUCUAUCAGUUAAUACUGAAUGAAAACUAACACAUCAUUAAAUCAGUCUUUAAAUGCCUAAA